ACCGGGAAAGGGAAUAACAAUCGAAAUGUAAAUAAAAAAAUACCCAAUUUAAUAAAGAUGGAGGAAAGGGUUGGGGAUUUAGCUCAGUGGUAGAGCGCUUGCCUAGCAAGUGCAAGGCCCUGGGUUCAGUCCUCAGCUCCGGAAAAAAUAAAUAAAUAAAUAAAAUAAAGAUGGAGGAAAAAAAAAGAAAAGGCUAAGAAGAUAGUUCAUUAGUAGACAGCUUGCCAAGUGUGUACAAGGCCGAGUCUGAACCCAAACAUAGGAAGAAAAAAAAAUCAAAAUGAAACAUAACACACUUUGAAGCCCACAUCCGCAAAAUAAUUCAUUCCCUUUGAUGCAGUCCUGAGAAUUGUGGCUUAUUAAGACUUUGAAGAUAAUUUCUGAUCUUUACCUACAACAAAUAGCCAUGGGGUCCACCAGGUAAAGGUGAACCCCAAAACCUGCCUAUCUCAUUCUUCUACUGCCUUGAAAACGGAAACCGCUGACUGCAGAAGUUUAUUAAAAUAAAUAGAUUAUAAAAUGUGGCAUCCCAUUCUGGGGAAGAUACUUCAGCUGGCAGCGGUGAUGUCUCUGCAGUAAGGGUACUGAGGGCUAGACAGUGACAUUAGGGUUUCUACUCUCCAGGAUCUCCCCUGUUGCUGUUUGACCCUUUUGACCUUGGUACCGUAUACAUGUACUGCCUAGCUGAGAAAGGACUUCAGGCUGGGCUGUGACUCAGUGUCGUAUGUGGCCAAAGCUGGCCUCACACUCCCUACGCUACUGAAGAUGACCUUGGACUUCAGUUCCUUCUAUUUCCACUCCUUGAGUACUGGUCUUACAAAGACAAUAAAGUCCUACAGGACAAAGUCGCUCAGCUGUCCUCGGCCUGGAAUACGGAAGCACACAAAUGAAUACUUUUGGAAGGCUGUAUCCCAGGACUUUUGGAAGGCGCCUUCCUGGACUCUCUGCCCUAUGCAGUCCUGAUCUUACAAUCAGGUGUGCCUAAACUGCCAGCUCUCAAGAAUCACAUGAUUUAUUCAUGAUAAAGUUCUGCCCUGUCAGGGAUAUCUGCAGAUCUUCCAGCUCAGGUCAAGGAACUCCAGUGGAGGCACAGCAAAGUGCCCAACCCCUUGGGCCAGAGGUCCAGACAAUGCAGGAGUGCUCUCCAUGAUCCCCUAGGUUCUGAAGACCCCCUUCCUCUGACUUCAAGCACUAUCAGAUCCUCGACCUAUGGGUCAGAGGCCAGAACUGAGAGAUCUUUAGGGUGGGUCAGAAAACAGAGCUCUAAAUGAUUCAACACGGAAAACCCGAAACCUACCCGCCUUCAGUUACAGAGGACAGUGGGGUGGGGCCACGGGAGCAGGGCAGCUCCAAGAACUUGCAUAAGCCCUAGGCAGGUAAACAAUGAUCAAGACCAACACGAAGUCCGGGCCUGGACUCUCACCAGAUGCCUGACCCUCUUUUCCCUCCCUGGCACAUGCCCAGGGCAUUUCUCACCAACUGUACUCUGGGAAAAGACCAGGACAGAAGUUAAUUCAGCGCCAUCUGUCUGCCUCUGCCCUUUCUGCCUGAGCACAGGGAGAAGGCACACUACACCUGUACCAGACAGCCACUUCUUCCUGAGUUACUCAUUAGCCUGCCCUGCCCCAAUUCCAUCACCUCUGGCCCAGCCAUACGCAUCUGGCUUCCAACUAGGAGUGACAGGGUCCCUGGACUUCUGGCAGGAAGUGAGUGAGGAUGGGGGAUGGGGUGUUUCGGGUGUAUGGAGGAAGGGCUGAUAGACACAGGGCCAGGCAAUGUGCAGAUAUUGAAUAACCAGAACAUUUACAAAGUGGACAAACUAAAACAAACAACAACGAACGGCAAUUAGAACCAUCUCAGUGGUAACAAGAAAGCAAGUAAAUGGUGAAAAUAAGAACGGAA